rnacentral:misc_RNA from 1 species
AAGUCGUAACAAGGUCUCCGUAGGUGAACCUGCGGAGGGGAUCAUUCAAGCUCAUGCCCUAACGGGUAGAUCUCCCCACCCUAUGUUAUCAUUACCAUGUUGCUUUGGCGGGCCGUCAGGCUCACGCUCGGCUACCGGCUCCGGCUGGUAAGCGCCCGCCAGAGGACCAACCCUGAAUAUUCGUGUCGCGAGUAUCAUAUAAUAGUUAAAA